CUCUGUUAUUCUUUAACAGAUGAAGUAAGUUACUUAACCCACAUUGAAAUCAAUAGUGAAGGCAGAAAUGGGGCAGUCAGCCUCUAACAGGACCCAAACUCAGGACCUCUGCAAGAACAGCAAACAUUCUUAAUCACUGAGCCAUCUCUCCGGCUCUCCUUGGGUUUGUUUGUUUUGGCUACGAAAAAUUUUAAAGACUUCAAAAGAGGGAGGCACGUCUAAUGAGCCCUCAGAUCUAGGUAGUACACGACAGCCAAACACCACGGCUGACAGCGGAUGGCGGAGGUGGAUGCACACACGUGUGUCACGUGGACUCACAGGAGCCGGGCUGCCCACAGAACGUAGGGAAGGGAGCACAGCGAGGAGAUACUGGACCAAAGCAAGACCACGAACCAGCUGAGCCAACUCCAAACUGCACCUCCACGUCUGAGCCAACUCCAAACUGCACCUCCACGUCUGAGCCAACUCCAAACU